rnacentral:rRNA from 1 species
CCUACGGGAGGCAGCAGUGGGGAAUAUUGCACAAUGGGGGAAACCCUGAUGCAGCGACGCCGCGUGAGCGAUGAAGUAUUUCGGUAUGUAAAGCUCUAUCAGCAGGGAAGAAGAUGACGGUACCUGACUAAGAAGCCCCGGCUAACUACGUGCCAGCAGCCGCGGUAAUACGUAGGGGGCAAGCGUUAUCCGGAUUUACUGGGUGUAAAUGGAGCGUAGACGGCGGUGCAAGCCAGAUGUGAAAGCCCGGGGCUCAACCCCGGGACUGCAUUUGGAACUGUGUGGCUGGAGUGUCGGAGAGGCAAGCGGAAUUCCUAGUGUAGCGGUGAAAUGCGUAGAUAUUAGGAGGAACACCAGUGGCGAAGGCGGCCUGCUGGGACGGUUCUGACACUAAGGCACGAAAGCGUAGGGAGCAAACGGGAUUAGAUACCCGAGUAGUC